rnacentral:rRNA from 1 species
AGUGAACGCUGGCGGUAGGCCUAACACAUGCAAGUCGAACGGCAGCACUGUAAGAGCUUGCUCUUACGGGUGGCGAGUGGCGGACGGGUGAGGAAUACAUCGGAAUCUACUUUUUCGUGGGGGAUAACGUAGGGAAACUUACGCUAAUACCGCAUACGACCUACGGGUGAAAGCAGGGGAUCUUCGGACCUUGCGCGAUUGAAUGAGCCGAUGUCGGAUUAGCUAGUUGGCGGGGUAAAGGCCCACCAAGGCGACGAUCCGUAGCUGGUCUGAGAGGAUGAUCAGCCACACUGGAACUGAGACACGGUCCAGACUCCUACGGGAGGCAGCAGUGGGGAAUAUUGGACAAUGGGCGCAAGCCUGAUCCAGCCAUACCGCGUGGGUGAAGAAGGCCUUCGGGUUGUAAAGCCCUUUUGUUGGGAAAGAAAAGCAGCAGGUUAAUACCCCGCUGUUCUGACGGUACCCAAAGAAUAAGCACCGGCCAACUUCGUG